AUUGAACGCUAGCGGGAUGCCUUACACAUGCAAGUCGAACGGGGUGGCUAACGGGUGAGUAAUGUAUCGGAACGUGCCCAGUCGCUGGGGAUAACUACGCGAUAGCGUAGCUAAUACCUCCUACUAUUGGUGCGGCCUAUAUCGGAUUAGCUAGUUGGUGGGGUAACGGCUCACCAAGGCGACGAUCCGUAGCUGGUUUGAGAGGACGACCAGCCACACGGGGACUGAGACACGGUCCAGACUCCGACGUGAGGCAGCAGCGGGGAAUAUUGGACAAUGGGGGAAACCCUGAUGCAGCCAUCCCGCGUGUGCGAAGAAGUCCUUCGGGUUGUAAAGCACUUUUGGCAGGGAAGCGGUACCUGCAGAAGAAGCACCGGCUAACUACGUGCCAGCAGCCGCGGUAAUUC
rnacentral:rRNA from 1 species